AGUCUGGUGCCAGCAGCCGCGGUAAUUCCAGCUCCAAUAGCGUAUAUUAAAGUUGUUGUGGUUAAAAAGCUCGUAGUUGGAUUUCGGCGGGUAGUGGUCGGUUUGAAUUGCUUCAACACUGGCUUUUUUACCCGUGUGUUUUGCCAGAAUUUAACGGGUGAUCUUCGCCGAUUGUCCGUUAGAACUGGCAGGUUUACUUUGAAAAUAAUUAGAGUGCUCAAAGCAAGCUUGAUUGCUUGAAUAUUCGUGCAUGGAAUAAUAGAAUAGGAAGUCGUUUCUAUUUUGUUGGUUUUCGGAGAUCGACUUAAUGAUUAAUAGGGAUAGUCGGGGGCAUUUGUAUUCAAACGACAGAGGUGAAAUUCUUGGACCGUUUGAAGACAAACUACUGCGAAAGCAUUUGCCAAGAAUGUUUUCAUUAAUCAAGAACGAAAGUUAGAGGUUCGAAGGCGAUUAGAUACCGCCCUAGUUCUAACCAUAAACGAUGCCAGCUAGCGAUCUGCCGGUGCUUGAUUUUCUGGCCCGGCAGGCAGCUUCCGGGAAACCAAAGCUUGUGGGUUCCAGGGGAAGUAUGGUUGCAAAGCUGAAACUUAAAGGAAUUGACGGAAGGGCACCACCAGGAGUGGAGCCUGUGGCUUAAUUUGACCCAACACGGGAAAUCUCACCAGGCCCGGACACCAGAAGGAUUGACAGAUUGAUAGCUCUUUCUUGAUUUGGUGGGUGGUGGUGCAUGGCCGUUCUUAGUUGGUGGAGUGAUUUGUCUGGUUAAUUCCGAUAACGAACGAGACUCUGUCCUGUUAAAUAGAUCCAACCUAGUUGUAGGGUUGGAAUGUCUUCUUAGAGGGACUGGUGAUUAUUAGUCACACGAGAUUGAGCAAUAACAGGUCUGUGAUGCCCUUAGAUGUUCUGGGCCGCACACGCGCUACACUGAAGUGAUCAGCUAGUUUUUCCCUCUCCGAGAGGAGCGGGUAAACUGUUGAACCCACUUCGUGGUAGGGAUCGGAGCUUGCAAUUAUUCUCCGUGAACCAGGAAUUCCCAGUAGGUGCAAGUCAUAAGCUUGCAUCGAUUACGUCCCUGCCCUUUGUACACACCGCCCGUCGCUACUACCGAUUGAGUGUUUUAGUGAGGACCUCGGAUUGCUUGCCUGGCGGUUAACGCUGCCUAGCUGGCGAAAAGACGUCCAAACUGUAGCACUUAGAGGAAGUAAAAGUC
rnacentral:rRNA from 1 species